rnacentral:rRNA from 1 species
UGCCUUAGUAACGGCGAGUGAAGCGGCAACAGCUCAAAUUUGAAAGCUGGCUCCUUNGGAGUCCGCGUUGUAAUUUGUAGAGGAUGAUUCGGCGAGGGCUCCCGCCUAAGUCCCCUGGAACGGAGCGUCAUAGAGGGUGAGAAUCCCGUAUGUGGUGGGCUGCCUUAGCCAUGUGAAUCUCCUUCGACGAGUCGAGUUGUUUGGGAAUGCAGCUCUAAAUGGGAGGUAAAUUUCUUCUAAAGCUAAAUACCGGCCAGAGACCGAUAGCGCACAAGUAGAGUGAUCGAAAGAUGAAAAGCACUUUGGAAAGAGAGUUAAAAAGUACGUGAAAUUGUUGAAAGGGAAGCGCUUGCAGCCAGACUUGUCCGCAGUUGCUCAGCCGGUCUCCUGACCGGCGUACUCUUCUGCGGCCAGGCCAGCAUCAGUUCGGGCGGUCGGAUAAAGACCUCGGGAAUGUAGCUCCUCUCGGGGAGUGUUAUAGCCCGGGGUGGAAUGCGGCCAGCCUGGACUGAGGAUCUCGCUUCGGCUAGGAUGCUGGCGUAAUGGCUGUAAGCGGCCCGUCUUGAAACACGGACCAAGGAGUCUAACAUCUAUGCGAGUGUUUGGGUGUCAAACCCAUGCGCGUAAUGAAAGUGAACGGAGGUGGGAACCCUCACGGGUGCACCAUCGACCGAUCCUGAUGUCUUCGGAUGGAUUUGAGUAAGAGCAUAGCUGUUGGGACCCGAAAGAUGGUGAACUAUGCCUGAAUAGGGUGAAGCCAGAGGAAACUCUGGUGGAGGCUCGCAGCGGUUCUGACGUGCAAAUCGAUCGUCAAAUUUGGGUAUAGGGGCGAAAGACUAAUCGAACCAU